rnacentral:rRNA from 1 species
AUUGAACGCUGGCGGCAGGCCUAACAACUGCAAGUCGAACGGUAGCACACGAGAGCUUGCUCUCGGGUGACGAGUGGCGGACGGGUGAGUAAUGUCUGGGAAACUGCCUGAUGGAGGGGGAUAACUACUGGAAACGGUAGCUAAUACCGCAUAACGUCGCAAGACCAAAGAGGGGGACCUUCGGGCCUCUUGCCAUCAGAUGUGCCCAGAUGGGAUUAGCUAGUAGGCGGGGUAAYGGCCCACCUAGGCGACGAUCCCUAGCUGGUCUGAGAGGAUGACCAGCCACACUGGAACUGAGACACGGUCCAGACUCCUACGGGAAGGCAGCAGUGGGGAAUAUUGCACAAUGGGCGCAAGCUGAUGCAAGCCAUGCCGCGUGUGUGAAGAAGGCCUUCGGGUUGUAAAGACUUUCAGCGGGGAGGAAGGCGUACGGUUAAUAACCGUCCGAUUGACGUUACCCCAAGAAGAAGAACCGGUAAUCCUGC